rnacentral:lncRNA from 1 species
UGUGGUGACCUGGGAAUCAAUGUGUGAGGUGGUGCUAUGUAGCAGGAACCCCUCUUGCUUUGCAAAUAGUUUUUUGUUUGUUUUCCUUUUUGCCCAAUAGAGCCCUGCUCUACUGACCCUUCAAUGUGCCCGUGUGCCUAAAUAUUCCUGGUCGUGUGAAAAGAACCCAGGUAUUAGCUGAACUAAGGAGCACAAUUCUGCAACAUUUUGGCACCCAAACACGGGGCUUGAGAAAUGAAUGCAAUUGGAGAAACUGGUUGUUUUACCAGGCGUUGAUUGGAAAUGUGUGCUUCCCUUUAAGCAGUCAAGCUCAACUUGCAGAACUGAUGGGAACCCCUUGGGAAAACUGGCCUCAAAUGUUUGUCUACACAGUCCACAUACAGGGUUCUUAACCUGCGAUGAGGGAAACUUCCCAGGGCUUGUCUGGGUAUGCCCACAGUGGACUGGAGCCCAAAAUGCACACUGGAGGAAGUGGAUGGAGCCACGUGGAUGUCAUGCCUUAUGCAGGGGAGGAGCCUGCUCUCUUCAGCUCCUGUGGUAAUGUGGGAAUCGAUCUGUGAGGAAACACUUUCUGAAAAUGUCAGAACUCUUGAAAACAUGGAUGAGGAAAAGCAUAAGUACUGCUUUAUGCUUUUCUUAUGAAUUUUAAAAGAUGUAAUUUAAAGAUGGAGUCUUGUUCUGUGGUCCAGGCUAGAGGGCAGUGGCAUGAUCUCGGCUCACUACAAGCUCUGCCUCCCGGGUUCACGCCAUUCUCCUGCCUCAGCCUCCUGAGUAGCUGGGACUACAGGCGCCCGCCACCACGCCUGGCUAAUUUUUUGUAUAUUUACUAGAGAUGGCUAGUGUUAGCCAAGAUGGUCUCGAUCUCCUGACCUCGUGAUCUGCCCACCUCAGCCUGCCAAAGUGCUGGGAUUACUGGCGUGAGCCACCGUGCCUGGCCAGCAUCCUCUAAUUAUUAUUCAUAGUUUGUGAAUUUAGGCCUACGUGAAUAAUAAUAUAAUAUUUACUAUGAUGUUACUAUCUACCAACCUUAUUUUUCUUUUCUAUAAAAUAGGAGCCAAAAUAAUAUUUAUGUCAUACCUUAUGAAGUUAAAAUAAAAUAUAACGAAUGAGGGGCUUAACAA